rnacentral:misc_RNA from 1 species
AUUGAAACCACAACAGCCACAGCCCCUUUCGCAUUUCCUAGAACCUGUAAAGUCAGAGCACUUGUGUGUUUUGUGACCAAAAAGUUGGUCAAAUUUACAAAAUAUGCUAGCGCCGAGUUGAAUAGCAGGUACCAGACAAUCUUGAUAUCGUCUCUAGCAAGAGCCAGUGUAAUCCCAACCACAUUAUCUUCCAUAAUAAGAGUUGCAGGAAGUAAAAAGACAACAGCUAUAGGUGCCAUGUACAGAAGGAGGUUCAUUGAAUUCAGCUUCUCCCCCUCAGAAGAAAGCAAAAUCCCUUGCAGCACUGAUUUGAGUGCCCUUGCAGCUGUNNNNNUUAUAAACCCAAAUAGAUGAAAACUCGGUUCACCCCCACUGGCAAUAAUUACUCCAGUAACGACAGGGAUCAAGGUGACAUAAGUAAGCCAAGCCUCCCUCUUAAGGGUCAUCAAAUAAGCGAAAACCGCAGUGAAAAACGGUGUCGUAGCACCAACCGCUUGAUUGAAAGAGACUGGGAGAAACCUCAAGGAAAUGUUACCAAACACGACCGACACACAAAAGACGAGACUCAAGGCGGAGAUNNNNNNNNGCGCGAGCGAAUUGUCUGCAUAGGGACCAUCUUCAUCCAAACAAUGGCGACAUAGCUAAGCAAACUACAAGCGGUCAUAUGACACAUGGUCAAGAAGAUCGGGUACUUGAACCCGUAAUUGCUUAGCAAAUACUUGUUCAGUAACAAAACCCCGAUAUUUGAGGAAUACCAGGAGCUCACUAGACCGAUCGUGAACAACCGGGAAGUGGUCUUCAUGGUGGAUAUUAAGCCGGGGGAUCUACCGUUUUCUGAUCGGAAGGCGGGGAUUUAGGGAGGUGGGGAGAGAUUAGGAGAGGUAAGGCGAACUGGGUUGCUACGGAUCUGCAAACAGAGAGGAAUUAACAGAGAAUAAAGGGUCUCCCAUGGAUCUGUGACAUAGAUAACGAAAUUUGAAACACAGAGAAUGGAAAAUUUGGAGGGAAAGGGAAGGAAUGUGAGCUUCUCUGCAAAUACAGAGAGGAAAGAAAAUGGAGGAGCCGAGGAGGAUGAAGAAGAAGAAGGAAGGAAAACGCGUGAUGAAGGGACUGAUUUUGGGGCUUUUUUAAAAAAUUUUUGUUUUAAUUUCAAACAAUUUUUGAGUUUGUGAUUUUGUUUUUCCGUUUUCUCUC